UACGAAGGGUGCAAACGUUGCUCGGAAUUAUUGGGCGUAAAGCGCACGUAGGCGGCAUUGCAAGUCCCAUGUGAAAGCCCACGGCUUAACCGUGGAAGUGCAUGGGAAACUGCAGUGCUUGAGUACUUAAGAGGAUCGCGGAAUUCCCGGUGUAGAGGUGAAAUUCGUAGAUAUCGGGAGGAACACCAGUGGCGAAGGCGGCGAUCUGGGAAGAUACUGACGCUGAGGUGCGAAAGCGUGUGGAGCAAACAGG
rnacentral:rRNA from 1 species